GUGAAUCAUCAAAUUUUUGAGCGCAAAUUGCACUCUCCUCGGAGAGUAUGCCUGUUUGAGGGUCAGCCUAAAAAAAAAAUCGACAUUGUUGCUGUUUUAUGGUGACUUUCGUCGGAGAUGGGUUAUCUUAAAUCUCGGUUUAAGCGACUUAAAAAUUUUUUUUAGAUUUUAAGAAUUUUUUUUAGUGUUUUUUUUUUCGUUUUA
rnacentral:misc_RNA from 1 species